rnacentral:lncRNA from 1 species
GACCAUCAUUUCUCCACCUGAUGUCGAGCAACAUUGUCCAGGAUUGGAAAAUGCUUGAGUUGGAUCAACUUACAGUUUAUCAGAUUUGCAAAAUCUCCUAAAGAUGGCCUUGCUCUCUUCUCCAAGGCUGACGACUGGAAUGGGAACUGAGGACGCAUAAAUUAAAAGACUAAAAAGACCAAUCCUCUUUUUAAUUAAAACAAAGUCCUUUAUUACAUGAGCACUGGCAUUGGUCAAAGCGUGAAGAGCAUCAGGAUGCCUGGCUUUGAAUCCCGAGGUACCACGUGGCAGCACAAAACUCAUCAGAGCUUGUUUGUGACGGAGCUGAGUCCAGAUGAUUGGAGAUGAGUCCACAU